AUUGAGAAUUGGUUCCAGGUCAUUGCAAAGCUACAAAUCACUGAAGCUUUAGGCCUUUAGCUUAGAGUUCAGAUGAUAAAAGCCCUAGAAAAUUCGAUUCCAAGUUGUUCAGUUAAGGCAAGCUCUAAAUCGAUUCCAGCCUUUUAGUCCAGGUCGUUCUUAUUCCUUUUCUGAUUUCAUGUUCAUUCUAGCUUUCUUAAGGACUUGGGUUGUUUUUUUUUAUUUGGGUUCAAGUCAAGGGAAUUCGUUCGGUCAAGCUCCAAAUCGACAUUGAACUUCUUCUUCUUUCGAGUUUUCUUAUGGCUUUUACGGGGGCUUAUGUAUUGGUUUUGGUUCAUCUUACAUCCUUGCCAUUAAUAAGGUGGACAAAAAAACAAAUUAAGAUAAUUCUACCCAUUUGUGGAUAGUGGCUUGCAAGCUUUAAAGCCAGAAGUGUGCAUAUAGGAUCAACACACUACGAACCUAAUGGGGAAAGGAUGUAGGCUUGGAAGGUUAUUUGCUUUGGAAUUUGAGGACAAGAGUUCUUCAUCGGUUUCUUGUUCGUUGUCUACUACUUCUAGUUUUUCCUCUGCUUCUUGUAAUUAUGUGUGGCACUUAUGGCAUAUAUGUUACACUUAUGAUAAAAAAUUGGAUUGUAUGUUUUCUUCUGGUUA